rnacentral:rRNA from 1 species
UACGUAGGUGGCAAGCGUUGUCCGGAAUUAUUGGGCGUAAAGCGCGCGCAGGCGGUCCCUUAAGUCUGAUGUGAAAGCCCACGGCUCAACCGUGGAGGGUCAUUGGAAACUGGGGAACUUGAGUACAGAAGAGGAAAGCGGAAUUCCACGUGUAGCGGUGAAAUGCGUAGAGAUGUGGAGGAACACCAGUGGCGAAAGGCGGCUUUCUGGUCUGUAACUGACGCUGAGGCGCGGAAAGCGUGGGGAGCAAACAGG